AAAGCUCUUCGGUGCCGCCGCAAACGCAUUAAGUAUUCCACCUGGGGAGUACGUUCGCAAGAAUGAAACUCAAAGGAAUUGACGGGGGCCCGCACAAGCGGCGGAGCAUGUGGUUUAAUUUGAAGCAACGCGAAGAACCUUACCAAGUCUUGACAUCCCUCUGACCGUUCCUUAACCGGAACUUUCCUUCGGGGCAGGGGAGACAGGUGGUGCAUGGUUGUCGUCAGCUCGUGUUGUGAGAUGUUGGGUUAAGUCCCGCAACGAGCGCAACCCCUAUCCCCAGUAGCCAGCGGUUCGGCCGGGCACUCUGAGGAGACUGCCAGGGAUAACCUGGAGGAAGGCGGGGAGGACGUCAAAUCAUCAUGCCCCCUAUGAUUUGGGCUACACACGUGCUACAAUGGCGUAAACAAAGGGAAGCAAGCCUGCGAAGGUAAGCAAAUCCCAAAAAUAACGUCCCAGUUCGGACUGCAGUCUGCAACUCGACUGCACGAAGCUGGAAUCGCUAGUAAUCGCGGAUCAGAAUGCCGCGGUGAAUAAAAGGCCGGGUCUUGCACA
rnacentral:rRNA from 1 species